rnacentral:rRNA from 1 species
UAGGGAAUCUUCGGCAAUGGGGGGAACCCUGACCGAGCAACGCCGCGUGAGUGAAGAAGGUUUUCGGAUCGUAAAGCUCUGUUGUUAAGGAAGAACGAGUGUGAGAAUGGAAAGUUCAUACUGUGACGGUACUUAACCAGAAAGGGACGGCUAACUACGUUCCAGCAGCCGCGGUAAUACGUAGGUCCCGAGCGUUGUCCGGAUUUAUUGGGCGUAAAGCGAGCGCAGGCGGUUAGAUAAGUCUGAAGUUAAAGGCAGUGGCUCAACCGUUGUAGGCUUUGGAAACUGUUUGACUUGAGUGCAGAAGGGGGGAGUGGAAUUCCAUGUGUAGCGGUGAAAUGCGUAGAUAUAUGGAGGAACUCUGGUGGCGAAAGCGGCUCUCUGGUCUGUAACUGACGCUGAUGCUCGAAAGCGUGGGGAGCGAACAGG